rnacentral:tRNA from 1 species
GGCCGGUUAGCUCAGCUGGUUAGAGCGUGGUGCUAAUAACGCCAAGGUCCUGGGUUCGAUCGCCAUACUGGCCA